CACGCCGUAAACGAUGAGUGCUAGGUGUUGGGGCCGACAGGUCUCGGUGCCGAAGUCAACACAUUAAGCACUCCACCUGGGGAGUACGAUCGCAAGAUUGAAACUCAAAGGAAUUGACGGGGGCCCGCACAAGCGGUGGAGCAUGUGGUUUAAUUCGAAGCAACGCGAAGAACCUUACCAAGGCUUGACAUCCUUCUGACCGGUCUUUAACCAGACCCUCUCUUCGGAGCAGAAGUGACAGGUGG
rnacentral:rRNA from 1 species